GUCAUACUUAGUGCAGUCUAAAAUCUAAAUUCCAAAUUAUUUAGAUCCUCAGUUUAAUACAAUUACUUUCAGAUAAUGUCAUUGCCCCACAGCGAGGACUGGCAGGGCUGCUACCGGCCCGAUCUUUGCUACUCGCUGCUGCGCCUGCUCAAAAUGACUCACAUCCCCCUACCCCACAACUGAUGCAAUGGAGG